rnacentral:rRNA from 1 species
UACGAAGGGGGCUAGCGUUGCUCGGAAUCACUGGGCGUAAAGCGCACGUAGGCGGCUUUCUAAGUCAGGGGUGAAAUCCUGGAGCUCAAACUCCAGAACUGCCUUUGAUACUGGAGAGCUUGAGUCCGGGAGAGGUGAGUGGAACUCCGAGUGUAGAGGUGAAAUUCGUAGAUAUUCGGAAGAACACCAGUGGCGAAGGCGGCUCACUGGCCCGGUACUGACGCUGAUGUGCGAAAGCGUGGGGAGCAAACAGG